rnacentral:rRNA from 1 species
GACGGACGCUGGCGGCGUGCUUAACACAUGCAAGUCGAACGGAAAGGCCCCAUCUUGCUGGGGUACUCGAGUGGCGAACGGGUGAGUAACACGUGGGUGAUCUGCCCUGCACUCUGGGAUAAGCCUGGGAAACUGGGUCUAAUACCGGAUAGGACCGUGCUUUAGUGUGUGCGGUGGAAAGUUUUUCGGUGCAGGAUGAGCCCGCGGCCUAUCAGCUUGUUGGUGGGGUAAUGGCCUACCAAGGCGGCGCCGGGUAGCCGGCCUGAGAGGGUGUACGGCCACAUUGGGACUGAGACACGGCCCAGGCUCCUACGGGAGGCAACAGUGGGGAAUAUUGCACAAUGGGCGCAAGCCUGAUGCAGCGACGCCGCGUGGGGGAUGACGGCCUUCGGGUUGUAAACCCCUUUCGGCAGGGACGAAGCUUUUGUGACGGUACCUGCAUAAGAAGCACCGGCUAACUACGU